CCCCGCGUUCCAACAAACAGACCUCUUCCACAAAGGUCCCCAGUGGAGCUGGAAGGAGAGACAAAGAAGCUAAGGUCUCUUGCUGGCAAGAAGACAUAACUUUUCAAACUGGAUCCAGAGUGACUAUGAUCACAUGCAACAAAGUUAAGUAAUGAUUUGCUGUUCGAGUAUCAGGCAUUCAUUCAUAUAAAGGGUGUAAUAAGACAAGCUUGACUUGGCUUUUCUUCUGAGGCCUCCAGAAGCGGAUUUUCCCCACGGCCUGGAAAAGGAGGCUGGGACUGCAUCGCACGCCUUGCUCUAUGUCCAGCUCUGUCGGUGUAUUUUUCCCUCUGGACAUGCAAAAAUGGAUCCACACAUGAGCAGAACUUCUGCUUUGACAGACUUUUCAGUGCAGUUUCUCGUGCAAAACAGGAACUUACAAAUCCAGAAGAAUUAUUCUCCGCUACAAGGUGACUUUCUAAAGUCGCCCCGCCAGACAAGGUAAGGUAGCAAAAUUGUUAAGAUUGUGGAUAGUGUACGUUUGUCACCGAAAUUUUUUUUUUCAAUUGGAUUUGUUAGUGAUAAUAAAAAGCAAAUUCAAAGGCUAUAUUAAAUAGUUAAUGAAGUAAAUUGUCAAUUAAUAGUUAAUUAAUUUGUUAAUAGCCGAUUAGGUUAAAUAAAGGCUAAGUUCUAUUUGAAAUUUAUUGGCGCUAGAACCUGUCUGCCUAGCAACACUGACACUGGCGCUAUGCCUGGUCUCGACAUUUUACAUUUUUUUCUAUUAUGUUAAAUUGAUUACCUCAGCGGUUAUAAAAUGAUCACAAUCUUUUUUUUCUUUUAAUCACAGGCAUAUUGAAAUUCACAUUCGCUUGCCACAUACUUAAACAUUUUUGCAAAUCUACAACACCCAGACUAAGCCACAGGUAACCAAUAACUUCCCCCAGCACCAGGUUCCCCUUAGUGUAGGAAGGGCCAAAAGAGCAAAUUCCACAUAGCAUCCAAACUUUCAAGCAAUUUGAGGGAAGAAAGCUUAAUCUACAGACAUCCUUACUUCCCAAUUCACAUGUUCUAAUGGGUCUAUUACUAAUGUGCAUUUAGUAGACACUCCCAGAUGUUCUUGGUCCAUGUCCAGGCUGGCGCUGUUUUGGUGCCAGUAGAAAAACGUAUUCAAUAUUAGACAGAUUUUUUUAUUUUUAUUGAUUUGAUAUGUCUUAGACUGCAAAAGCGAUUUAAGAAAAGAAAUGAAGUUGUUUAUAUGUCCUGGCUAUAUUUUGUGUUUUCACUGUUUGUUCUUUGAAUGUAUAGUUUCAUAUGUACGAGCUACCGCACCCUAUUGGCGGUCAGACGUCUCGGAGUCCCUCCAGUACUUGGUCCCCAGAAGCGAUCACACACUUUAUCUAACUCUGACUCUUAAAGGAACGACUCUCAAACAGUUUCUAACUUUCAGCUCCUUUAAUCCAAAUUAGAGGAACAAUUACAGAGAUCAGCGGUGAGGCUCCCGUCUCGGUCGACUGUGAAAGACGUAUAUCAGAUGAAAGAUGUGAUGACUCAGUAGGACUUGGAGAAAGGUCCUAGAUUUUUAAGUUCUGCUGCUGGUCUAUAAAGCACUGAAUGGUCUAGGAGCAGGAUCCAUCAGUGACCUCCUGGUCCAUUAUGAACCUACUAGAUCCCUCAGGUCAUCUGGAUCCAGUCUGGACCAGUUCCCAGAGUCAGAAGCAGACCUGGAGAAGCUUUGUUCAGCUUCUGUGCUCCACAUGUCUGGAACAAACUCCCAGAAAGCCUCAGAUCAGCUGAAACACUCAAUUUGUUUAAAUCCAGGUUGAAGACCCACCUGUUCUCAGCUGCAUUAUUAAUAUUCACAAUUUCAUGUCUGCACAGUUUCUACUAAGCUUAACAAUUUGAUCUAAUGUCUUCUAUUUCAGAAAUUGUUAAUCAUGCUGCUUAUUUUAAAUGUACUUUUUAAUGCUCUCUGUACCUGGCUUUAAAGUUUUUAUAUAAAUUGUAUUGUACAUCAAAUGUUCUAGACAAAUACAUUUUCCUUGUCUCUAGGUUUGUAGAGGGCUUCAAGACUCUUGGGCUACUGAAAGAGCUCCAGAAAAACCCAACUGUUUUUCUUGAUAUGUUCGUGUGUGAGGAGAAACCCCUCACAGCCAGGGACUUGAGUAGCCUUUUCACAGUGGCCUAUUUUGCUCAAGGCAGCAAUCGGCGAGCUCUGGAGAACCAGUUGGUAUGCUUCUGGAGAGACUGGGUGAUCGAUAUUGAAGAAGAGGAUGAUGGUCCACUCUCUCAAGGAAGUUCUGGUGUUCACAUCUGGAGCUUCUGCCAUCCCUCCACUUGGCUUUCCCUGCCAGCCUGAAAUUCAGUUUCUGCAUGACACCAAGAAAAUUUACCCAGAAGCCAAUACUUGUGUUGUUGUUCUGUAUUUGCCGCUGCACUCCUCCUAUGAGGCUUUUAAAACUUACAUGACGGAGGGAAUAUUGCAAGCUCCAACCUUUGGAGUUUCUUAAAUUGUCACGAAUGUGACAGUGAAAGGUUACACUGAAAGCUGACUGAAACUGGCCAGUGUUGCAUGUUUGUUCAGUGUUUUUUUUAUUUUAUUUUAUUUUUUACCUAAUUGUAAGGCAAAACAUGGUUUUACAAGUUCUGAAAAUUACGCCAAUGUUUAAAAAACUACUGUUCAUGUGUUAAUGGAUUUUACAAGAAACCUUUAGCCGCUUCUGAGGAUAAAAUAUCACAAGUCUGUGCCAGAGACUGAUUUCAGGUUCUGUCAUUUUGAACUUUUGAAAUGGUUUCACAUUAUAACAACUUCAAAAGUUGAUAAAUUUCUUCCCAAGACUACCAUAUGUUCUCUUCUAUAUUUGUCUUCACGGCAAUAAAGCAAAUACUGAGAAAAAAAUUAUUUUCAUUCAAUCAGCCAUUGUUUAACACCAAAGAUUUAAUCUUUACAAACAGAUGUAGAUAGCUAAUCACACAUGAGUACUCCAUUGAGGAAUAAUCUGACUGUUGCAAACAAGAAUGGUCAUAUUGCAAUGGUCUUUCAAGGAAUCCAAAUAAUAGUUCGAUACAACAUACCGUAAAUAUGUGACCAACGCAAGGGGUAAACAUAAAGAAACUGAAUUCACCAUGGCCACAGCUGACAAAAAACAUAUUUCAGCCAAUUGUAGGGAGAAGUUUUUACUCAAAUAUAGGGGUCAUAUGAAAAUUUGUUUUUUUAAAAGAAGGGGAAUGCUGCUGCUGAGGGAGAAAAUCAUCAUAGAAAAAAACUCUGAAAUUUUAUCUCCCCACAAACAGGGUGAUGGAGGGCCACAGAAUCUGAGUAACUGAAAAAUACCAUAAUUCAAUAGCCUAUUAACCAGGAAAUGAUAUAUCUGUUUGUGUUAUGAAAAAUAUAUAUAUAUUUUUUUUUAAUUUAUUUUUUUAAGCUAUUAAAAGACACUAGAGCAUACUAGAACAUUGCAAUUUUCCUUUGGAAUACUCCCCUGCUCUUAGAACUUUUGUCAGCCAAGUCAUAAUGUUUGAAGAUACUUAAAUACAAGGAUAGUGGACUUCUUUAGAUGACAUUGGAGACAGUUUUCCUUUCACACAAAAGGCUUUCUCAGUUCUGACCAUUGGGGACUUGUCAGUUUGUGUUAAAAUGCCUUAAAAUAUCCAUCACUAUAAGGAAGAGAGACAAAGUCUUUUGAGGAUUGUCGCUCAGUAAGGAUUAACACAUUUUUGAAGGACCAGAAGAAUGUUAACGGGUGUUGACUUUUCUUUGAACACCAAUUUCUUUUUCAUUUGAGUUUGUUUUAAGCAUUUUUGUGCAUCAUGAUGCUACAAAAGGUUUCUUAUUAUGUGGAUUAUUUUAAGUCAGCCCAAAUUAUGCUUUAAUUGGAUCCAAGUAUUAAGUAUCCUGCAACUGUAAAACUGAAUCAUUAAAAUAUUAAAAAGUGUGAUGUUUAAUAAUCAACCUGAUAAGUCACAUGUUCCCAUCAAUAUGCCACAAACUGUUGGGGUAUGGUACAUGGUAA